AUCCAGAAAUCGUUGGAGUGAGCUAUUGAACAGACAAUGAUUUCCGAAACGCUUAUAUGGUACUGAACGAGAAGUCGGACAUAACGAUCCACGAUAGAAAUGUACUUUUCUUUGAAAUUGGAUAGGUCGUCGUCUAACGGUACCAGAAUAAUGUCCAUUUGCCGCUUAUUGAGAUAAGGUGUGGCAGAAAGUGCCAAAAUACGAUGGCAAGAACUCUGAGUACGCAGUAAUCGGAGGCUCUAGUAGAACGAAAAACAUUAUAAGUAAAGAGUAGUUUCAACACGUAUGAUCAUUUUUACGCAAUUUUGGAACAAUGACUACUGCUAUAAAAGUAAGUACAUUUUUGUCAAGUAUGUUACUGUAUUUACAAAAUAUAUUUAUAUUAGCCAUAAACAUCAUCAAUAUCUACGGUACCUGGCAUAUUACAUUCUAUACAUACCUCGCAG